rnacentral:rRNA from 1 species
CAGCCGCCACGGUAAUACGAGGGGGGCAAGCGUUGUUCGGAAUUAUUGGGCGUAAAGGGUGCGUAGGCGGCUUGACAAGUCUUGUGUGAAAUCUAUGGGCUCAACCCAUAGUCUGCACGGGAAACUGCCGAGCUAGUAGGUGAGAGAGGUGAGUGGAAUUCCGAGUGUGGAGGUGAAAUUCGUAGAUAUUCGGAAGAACACCAGUGGCGAAGGCGGCUCACUGGCUCAUUCUAGACGCUGAGGUGCGAAAGCGUGGGGAGCAAACAGGAUUAGAUACCCCGGUAGUCCCUGUCUCUUAUAA